CACAAGCAGCGGAGCGUGUGGUUUAAUUCGAUGCAACGCGAAGAACCUUACCAGGGUUUGACAUGCUUAAAGUAGAAACUCGAAAGAGGGACGACCUGUAUCCAGUCAGGAAUUUGCACAGGUGCUGCAUGGCUGUCGUCAGCUCGUGCCGUGAGGUGUUAGGUUAAGUCCUGCAACGAGCGCAACCCUCGUCGCUAGUUACUUUUCUCUAGCGAUACUGCCCGUAUAACGUGGAGGAAGGUGGGAUGACGUCAAGUCAGCACGGCCCUUAUGUUCUGGGCUACACACGUGCUACAAUGGCCGGUACAGACGGACGCAAAGCCGCGAGGCGGAGCAAAUCCGAAAAAGCCGGUCUCAGUUCGGAUUGCAGGCUGCAAUUCGCCUGCAUGAAGUCGGAAUCGCUAGUAAUCGCAGGUCAGCAUACUGCGGUCGAAUACGUUCCCGGGCCUU
rnacentral:rRNA from 1 species